GAAACAACAGAUGCUAACACAUGUAAUCUAACACGAUCAUCUGACAUUAAACAGCAUAAAAGCUGCAACGUUAUGGAAUAAAAUAUCGACCAAUGACAAGCAUUCAUUCUCGUGGGUCUGUUCCGGUUCCGUGUUUCACUGUGGAUUACUUUGUCAUCACCCGGACCUUUCAUCAUCUUUCACCAGCGUACUUAAUUCACCAUCUCACCCGUCCUGUGCUGUCAUCGAGGUCCCUGUGCCACCCGCCGUCAGCUGAUGCCUUUCUCAUUCAUUUCUGUCAAUAAACUGUAACUUGCAAUUUGCUUCCUGUCUUCAAUCCCUGACAGAAUGAUCUGACCACUAUGGAAACAGCAUGUUCCUGCAUGGGUUGGCUGACCGUGUCCAGAGAGAGAUCUACAUCCUAGAUCUUCUGACUUCUCUCAAUGGACUCAUUGAGUUGGCACUAAGAGUAGAUGCAUGACUGUCCCGAGUAGAGCGACGGACCCUACCCAGUCAUACUACGAGAGACCCUGCUGGUACACGAGUCAGCAGUGGGGACGCAGUCAGCCCUGUCCACGAUCACGAGCCCAUGCAGGUGGGGCGAGCUCGGCUUUCCCAGAGGAGAAGGAGAUGCGGAGAUCCCAGGGCCUUUGCCUCUAUUGCGGGGAGCUGGUCAUCACGCCUACAUCUGUCCAGUAAAAGUAUGAGGCUACUAUCGGGUGGGAUCUCCACCGAGAAGACCUCAUCAUUAUCUACACUUCUUCCAGUAAGUUUCAUGAGUCUUGUCUUGUGUCUGCCUGUCCAUCUGUUUCUGUGUCUGUGUUUCAGGAGGAAGCAGUGAAUUUGUCAAACGUGCCCGCGGAGUACCUCGACAUGAAGGAAGUAAUGCUGCUUCUCUUCUUCUGCAUCACCCCUAUGACUGUGCCAUAGAUUUGCUGUCAGGAAUAUGUGCAGCAUGUCCGACGAGUGCUUCAGAGGUUGCUAGAGAAUGGGCUUUUUGUCAAGGCGAAGAAAUGUGCUUUUCAUGCUGUGGUGGGGGAUGCGUGGUUCAGCGAGGUCUGUGACGGGAGAGAGAGCGAGGAGACGAGCGGCGAUAUGACCAUGUUAGACAACGCCCACCACCCUCCAGCUCACCAGCAGCAGAUAACACUGACAGAGCCAGUAGUGCGGGAGCAUCAGUUCCAAGAACGGGACCCAAAAAAGAAAAUGCAUGACUAUUCACACAACCUUCACAUCAUAGAAAGGGACAUCAAAGCAAAAUUCCUCUAAUUUCACUAUGAUAUGAAAUGUAACAAAAUGUAAAAAAAAUAAAUAAAUCU